GAUGAACGCUUUUGGCGUGCCUAAUACAUGCAAGUCGAGCGAACAGACAAGGAGCUUGCUCCUUUGACGUUAGCGGCGGACGGGUGAGUAACACGUGGGUAACCUACCUAUAAGACUGGGAUAACUUCGGGAAACCGGAGCUAAUACCGGAUAAUAUUUCGAACCGCAUGGUUCGAUAGUGAAAGAUGGUUUUGCUAUCACUUAUAGAUGGACCCGCGCCGUAUUAGCUAGUUGGUAAGGUAACGGCUUACCAAGGCGACGAUACGUAGCCGACCUGAGAGGGUGAUCGGCCACACUGGAACUGAGACACGGUCCAGACUCCUACGGGAGGCAGCAGUAGGGAAUCUUCCGCAAUGGGCGAAAGCCUGACGGAGCAACGCCGCGUGAGUGAUGAAGGUCUUCGGAUCGUAAAACUCUGUUAUUAGGGAAGAACAUACGUGUAAGUAACUAUGCACGUCUUGACGGUACCUAAUCAGAAAGCCACGGCUAACUACGUGCCAGCAGCCGCGGUAAUACGUAGGUGGCAAGCGUUAUCCGGAAUUAUUGGGCGUAAAGCGCGCGUAGGCGGUUUUUUAAGUCUGAUGUGAAAGCCCACGGCUCAACCGUGGAGGGUCAUUGGAAACUGGGAAACUUGAGUACAGAAGAGGAAAGUGGAAUUCCAUGUGUAGCGGUGAAAUGCGCAGAGAUAUGGAGGAACACCAGUGGCGAAGGCGACUUUCUGGUCUGUAACUGACGCUGAUGUGCGAAAGCGUGGGGAUCAAACAGGAUUAGAUACCCUGGUAGUCCACGCCGUAAACGAUGAGUGCUAAGUGUUAGGGGGUUUCCGCCCCUUAGUGCUGCAGCUAACGCAUUAAGCACUCCGCCUGGGGAGUACGACCGCAAGGUUGAAACUCAAAGGAAUUGACGGGGACCCGCACAAGCGGUGGAGCAUGUGGUUUAAUUCGAGGCAACGCGAAGAACCUUACCAAAUCUUGACAUCCUUUGACAACUCUAGAGAUAGAGCCUUCCCCUUCGGGGGACAAAGUGACAGGUGGUGCAUGGUUGUCGUCAGCUCGUGUCGUGAGAUGUUGGGUUAAGUCCCGCAACGAGCGCAACCCUUAAGCUUAGUUGCCAUCAUUAAGUUGGGCACUCUAAGUUGACUGCCGGUGACAAACCGGAGGAAGGUGGGGAUGACGUCAAAUCAUCAUGCCCCUUAUGAUUUGGGCUACACACGUGCUACAAUGGACAAUACAAAGGGCAGCGAAAUCGCGAGGUCAAGCAAAUCCCAUAAAGUUGUUCUCAGUUCGGAUUGUAGUCUGCAACUCGACUACAUGAAGCUGGAAUCGCUAGUAAUCGUAGAUCAGCAUGCUACGGUGAAUACGUUCCCGGGUCU
rnacentral:rRNA from 1 species